GGGUGCGAUCAUACCAGCACUAAUGCACCAGAUCCAUCAGAACUUUGCAAUGAAGCUUGUUUGGGAGAGAGUAGGACUAGGAUGGUUGACCUCCUGGGUAAUCCUUGUGUUGCACCCC
rnacentral:rRNA from 1 species